UACGUAGGUGACCAGCGUUGUCCGGAUUUACUGGGCGUAAAGAGCGCGCAGGCGGUCGUUCAAGUCGAGUGUGAAAGCCCCCGGCUCAACUGGGGAGGGUCAUUCGAUACUGAUCGACUUGAAGGCAGGAGAGGGAAGCGGAAUUCCCGGUGUAGUGGUGAAAUGCGUAGAUAUCGGGAGGAACACCAGUGGCGAAGGCGGCUUCCUGGCCUGUUCUUGACGCUGAGGCGCGAAAGCUAGGGGAG
rnacentral:rRNA from 1 species